GAUCAAUGAUGAAAAUGACCAAAAAUGAGCAUCAGAAGAAUCUUCCAAUCUACCUGAUGGAUGAUCUCUAGUUCUGAGA
ensembl:snoRNA